rnacentral:rRNA from 1 species
AGUGGGGAAUUUUGGACAAUGGGCGCAAGCCUGAUCCAGCCAUGCCGCGUGAGUGAAGAAGGCCUUCGGGUUGUAAAGCUCUUUCGGCCGGGAAGAAAUCGUGGUCUCUAACAUAGGCCAUGGAUGACGGUACCGGACUAAGAAGCACCGGCUAACUACGUGCCAGCAGCCGCGGUAAUACGUAGGGUGCGAGCGUUAAUCGGAAUUACUGGGCGUAAAGCGUGCGCAGGCGGUUUUGUAAGACAGAUGUGAAAUCCCCGGGCUUAACCUGGGAACUGCGUUUGUGACUGCAAGGCUAGAGUACGGCAGAGGGGGGUGGAAUUCCUGGUGUAGCAGUGAAAUGCGUAGAGAUCAGGAGGAACACCGAUGGCGAAGGCAGCCCCCUGGGCCUGUACUGACGCUCAUGCACGAAAGCGUGGGGAGCAAA